UGGAAAACAAAAAUUAUAAAUAUAGUUCUUAUUACAAAAUCUAUCACUAACAUUAUAAAACAGUAAUAUGUUAUAAUAUGUAAUAAUGAAAAGCGCUCGAACAAUAGAAAUACAUAUACGUAUAAAAUAAUAUAAAAAGACAAUUUUUACAUUGCAACCAUAAUCAAAAGGUGCUAGGAUGCGAUCCUUUUCCUACGUGAUUAGGACAAGUUAAUAAUAUUUAGUUUUCUUAACAAUAAAUCAUAGUUUCAAAAUUGGAAUUAAGAUUAUUAUCGUAUCUCUUUUAAUUUCUGCUCUUGAGAUAAAAAAGAAAUUAUCAUUUGUUCGUGAUCGAUUUUGAGGUAUACUCUUCUAUCGAUGUAUGAUUUGAGGUCUAUUUUAUAACCACAAAAUUGACCUUCUAUCUGCGAUGUUCAUAUUUAGUGCUUAUGUUGCAAAUGCGCGGUAGUUUUCGUAAAAACUUCACGUACGGCAAUUAAAGUGAAAUUUUGUGAAUGUAGAUACGUAUAAUUAUAAUAUAUAUGUGUUCAUGUACUGAAUUAUCCUUGUAUACAUAUAGUUACAAGAAAAUCUGAAAGAAUAUAAAAGGAAGAAGUGAGACAAAGAACAUGAGUACAUAUACAUUGUAUGAUUGCACAUAAGGAUUUAAGGUUUCCUGCGCUGUGAUUCGGAGGAGUGCCAUUAUCAGCGUGCAAUGUUUCCAUUCGUGGAAUUUUUGGCGGCAACGGGUAAGUAUAUAAAUAAAAAGUAGAAUUUUAGAUAAAUCCGAAUGCAUAUAAAGAACUGAAUAAAAUAAUACUGUUAAGCAUAUA